AUGGCUAUACCACCCUGAAUACCACGAUCUUGUCUGAUCUCAGAGGCUAAGCAGGGUCAGGUCUGAAUAGUGCUCAGAUGGGAUCCCGCCUGGGAAUAUAUGUCUGUGUUUCAUU
rnacentral:rRNA from 1 species